AUUGAACGCUGGCGGCAGGCCUAACACAUGCCAGUCGAGCGGAUGAAGGGAGCUUGCUCCUGGAUUCAGCGGCGGACGGGUGAGUAAUGCCUAGGAAUCUGCCUGGUAGUGGGGGAUAACGUCCGGAAACGGGCGCUAAUACCGCCUACGUCCUGAGGGAGAAAGUGGGGGAUCUUCGGACCUCACGCUAUCAGAUGAGCCUAGGUCGGAUUAGCUAGUUGGUGGGGUAAAGGCCUACCACGGCGACGAUCCGUAACUGGUCUGAGAGGAUGAUCAGUCACACUGGAACUGAGACACGGUCCAGACUCCUACGGGAGGCAGCAGUGGGGAAUAUUGGACAAUGGGCGAAAGCCUGAUCCAGCCAUGCCGCGUGUGUGAAGAAGGUCUUCGGAUUGUAAAGCACUUUAAGUUGGGAGGAAGGGCAGUAAGUUAAUACCUUGCUGUUUUGACGUUACCAACAGAAUAAGCACCGGCUAACUUCGUG
rnacentral:rRNA from 1 species